CUACGGGGCGGCUGCAGUGGGGAAUAUUGCACAAUGGGCGCAAGCCUGAUGCAGCCAUGCCGCGUGUAUGAAGAAGGCCUUCGGGUUGUAAAGUACUUUCAGCGGGGAGGAAGGGAGUAAAGUUAAUACCUUUGCUCAUUGACGUUACCCGCAGAAGAAGCACCGGCUAACUCCGUGCCAGCAGCCGCGGUAAUACGGAGGGUGCAAGCGUUAAUCGGAAUUACUGGGCGUAAAGCGCACGCAGGCGGUUUGUUAAGUCAGAUGUGAAAUCCCCGGGCUCAACCUGGGAACUGCAUCUGAUACUGGCAAGCUUGAGUCUCGUAGAGGGGGGUAGAAUUCCAGGUGUAGCGGUGAUAUGCGUAGAGAUCUGGAGGAAUACCGGUGGCGAAGGCGGCCCCCUGGACGAAGACUGACGCUCAGGUGCGAAAGCGUGGGGAGCAAACAGGAUUAGAUACCCCCGUAGUC
rnacentral:rRNA from 1 species